UACGUAGGGUGCAAGCGUUAAUCGGAAUUACUGGGCGUAAAGCGUGCGCAGGCGGUCUGUUAAGACAGUUGUGAAAUCCCCGGGCUUAACCUGGGAAUUGCGCUUGAAACUAGGUCGCUAGAGUGUGGCAGAGGGGGGUGGAAUUCCACGUGUAGCAGUGAAAUGCGUAGAGAUGUGGAGGAACACCGAUGGCGAAGGCAGCCCCCUGGGCUAACACUGACGCUCAUGCACGAAAGCGUGGGGAGCAAACAGG
rnacentral:rRNA from 1 species